rnacentral:rRNA from 1 species
GACGAACGCUGGCGGCGUGCCUAAUACAUGCAAGUCGAACGGAAAGGCUCUGCUUGCAGGGUGCUCGAGUGGCGAACGGGUGAGUAACACGUGGGUGAUCUGCCCCUCACUUUGGGAUAAGCCUGGGAAACUGGGUCUAAUACUGGAUAGGACCAUGUUGUAGGUGUUGUGGUGGAAAGAUUAGUUUCGGUUUGGGAUGAGCUCUCGGCCUAUCAGCUUGUUGGUGGGGUGAUGGCCUACGAGGGCGUCGACGGGUAGCCGUCCUGAGUGGGUGGGCGGACACCUUGGGACUAGGAUACGGAGCAGACUCCUGCGGGAGGCGGCAGUGGGGUAGAUUGCACAAUGAUAGCUAGCCUGAUGCUGCGACGCCGCGUGGGGGAUGACGGCCUGCGGAUUGUAAAGACCUUUUAGCCAUGUCGAAGUCCUUGUGGUGGCGGUAGUGGUAGAAAAAGCACCGGCUAACUACGUG